rnacentral:rRNA from 1 species
UACAGAGGUGGCAAGCGUUGUUCGGAAUUACUGGGCGUAAAGGGCGCGUAGGCGGCCCGUCAAGUCCCGUGUGAAAGCCCCCGGCUCAACCGGGGAACGGCGCGGGAAACUAGCAGGCUUGAGUUCGGGAGAGGGAAGCGGAAUUCCGGGUGUAGCGGUGGAAUGCGUAGAGAUCCGGAAGAACACCGGUGGCGAAGGCGGUCUGCUGGGCAGUUGCUGACACUGAGGCGCGACAGCGUGGGGAGCAAACAGG